CUAGGUUUAACUCAUAUUAUUAUCAGAAAAAUAUAGCGCAUAAAAUAAAAUAAUCCCAGAAAAAUAAUUAAAAUGGCCUUAUUACAACCCAAAACCAAAUAAUAAUAUUAAUAAGAUAAAACUUAUAAAGAAAUAAAUCGGCUACUUAUUGCAAUUAAAAGAAACAGAAACAGUAGUGUGGCCAUCUCCGAGUCCCUCACAGCUCUAAACCAUCUAAGCUUAGGGAUUACCUGCACAGUUAGAAACGGGGUAAGUUUACGAAAACUCAGUGUGUAAUCCCAAUAACAAACAAACAGUGAAAACACAAUGUCAGUACAAUCUGGGCCAAAGCCCUAUUUAGUCUUGGCAUAUACUGGGCCGAAGCCUUUUGUUUAACGGUUACUGGGCCGAAGCCUUUUCAUAAAUCAUAUCACUAGGCCGAAGCCUUAUCAUAAAUCAUAUCACUGGGCCGAAGCCUUAUCAUAAAUCAUAUCACUAGGCCGAAGCCUUAUCAUAAAUCAUAUCUCUGCGCCGAAGCCUUUUCAUAAAUCAUAUCAUUGGGCCGAAGCAUUUAUUGUAAAUGGUAUGGCCCUUAGGCCCAUUUCAAUAUCACAUGUAAUGUCAAUGGAUGUAUGCAAGCCCAUUUGGGGAGACUACUCGACCCACCAUCCGCUACUCUCCACCCGUACCAACCAACACACCAUGUGGGGAAUGAUUCAACCCACCCAACCAACACACCACUGGCAGCAUAGCUGCUUUAUCAUAUAUAUGGAGGCCUAGCCUCUUUUAAUAACUGGGGCAAAGCCCUUUUGAUAAACUGGGGCAAAGCCCUUUUCGGUAAACUAGGGCAUAGCCCUUUUAGCACUUCCUCCAUUUAUAAAACCCAACCCAUGCAACAUGUCAUGCAUGCAGAAUGUCAUGCCCAUAUUUGAAUCAAACAAUCACAGUCAAGUCAUUCAUAUCACCAACAUAUAUUCACAAUCAAAUUCGUCAACCACAUAGUCCAAGUCAGUCACUUGCCCACAAGGGCAAAAUAGUCAUUUUUUACAUUAUAAGGAUAAUUUCGUAAUUUUACCAAAUAUCAGGGUUUUCCAUGUUCAUAAACAAUUAUCAAUAUUUUCGAGUGUUUAAACAAUGAUCUUUAACCCACUUUAUCAAACUUGGGCUUUUGGGCCCAAAACCUCUAAUGGGCCUACGAAUGUCGAUUUAGCCCAUUAAGCCCACAUAAUCUAAAUUUUACAACAGUACUAACCGUGUUAACGUGCAACUUUUCCAGAUUCCAUUUUCUAUCAGUUUUACCCAAAUGGGCCCGAAGCCCAUUGGGCCCGAUUCCAGCCUAUUGAGGCCCAACUUACCAUCGUGCACAAAAUUGAGUUCUUACAUGUUCCAUCGAUCCAAACACCGAUCUUAUCGUAUUUAUCGCAUCUAUACCCAAACGUAACAUUACAAGUUCCCAAAAUAUUGGUAUUUUAGCAUUUCGACUUCUCAGCAAAUAUUAAUCUAAGCUAUUACGAGGGUUAGUACACACCUGUUACAGGUUGAAGUUGAAACGUUUCCAAAAUCAAUCGCCUACGAUAACCACCACCUGUCACUCAAACUUAACUAAUCCAAUAUCAAUAUAUGUAAAUCCUAAGCACAUCAGUCAUACGGAACAUAAGGGCAUAUUUGUCAUUUUACCAUAUAGGGGUAUUACGGUCACUUUACCCUACAGGGGCUUUACGGUUUUUUUACCUAAUAGGGGUAUUUUAGUCAUUUCACCCUACAAGGGUGUUUUGGUAAAUCUACAAACCAAGGGUAUUUCAGUAAUUUUGUAAACCAAUGGUAUUUCUAUAAUUUUUAGAAAGUCAAGGGUAUUUUUGUAAUUUUGUAAAUCAGGGGUAUUUUGGUAAUUUUACAAAUUAAGGGUGUUUUGUUAUUUUCACAAACCAGUGGUAUUUUGAUAAUUUUACAAACUAGGGGUAUUAUGGUAAUUUUACAAACCAGGAGUAUUUUAGUAAUUUUACAAACCAGGGUAAUUUGGUAAUUUUACUGAUCGAGGGUAUUUUGGUAAUUUUGUAAACCAAGGGUAUUUUAGUAAUUUUGUAAAUCAAGGGUAAAACAGUAAUACUGUAAAUCAAGGGUAAAAUAGUAAUUCUAUAAAUCGAGGGUAAAACGGUAAUUCUGUAAAUCGAGGGUAAAACGGUAAUUAUGUAAAUCGAAGGUACUUUGGUAAUUUUACAAGUCGAGAGUAUUUUAAUAAGUUUACAGGUCGAGGGUAUUUUAGUAAUUUCACAAAUUAUGGGUAUUUUGGUAAUUUUACAAACUAAGGGUAUUUUGAUAAUUUUACAAACCAGGGGUAUUUUGGUAGUUUUACAAACUAGGGGUAUUUUGGUAAUUUGGUAAACUAAAGUAUUCUAAACAGGGAUAACAAUAUGAAUGGGCCUAAAGCCCUUUCUCAGCCCAAAUGGGCGCACACGCUCGUGUGGCCCUUUUAGCCUAAAUCUAGCCACAGAUAUGAGAUUCACCUAGCCUAGUCCAAUAUUUACUACACAAUCAAACAACUUAUCCAAUUGGGCUCGUAGGCCCAUUGGGCCCACAUGGCCCUUUCGGCCCAUCACGGCCCGAAGUAGCCAUCCUACAGCUAGAGUAGUGAGAAAUACAUACCUGAUAGGAGACUGGAGUUAAUCCACGCUCCGAGCACUCUUAGCCGACGCCCAACCCAAACGAGCACGCCAUACAACGAAAGGGAUCAGCUAAGAAAGGUACCUCUACUCUCCUCAUGGUUCUCUCUAUUUAAAGCCAGCUUCGCAUCCCCUCUUAUGUUAGCUUCCCGAUGUGGGAUCCUUCCAACAUCAGAGUUU
rnacentral:lncRNA from 1 species